rnacentral:rRNA from 1 species
AGCGAACGCUGGCGGCAGGCUUAACACAUGCAAGUCGAGCGGGCACUUUCGGGUGUCAGCGGCGGACGGGUGAGUAACGCGUGGGAACGUGCCCUCUGGUUCGGAAUAACUCAGGGAAACUUGAGCUAAUACCGGAUACGCCCUUUUGGGGAAAGGCUUGCUGCCGGAGGAUCGGCCCGCGUCUGAUUAGCUAGUUGGUGAGGUAACGGCUCACCAAGGCGACGAUCAGUAGCUGGUCUGAGAGGAUGAUCAGCCACACUGGGACUGAGACACGGCCCAGACUACUACGGGAGGCAGCAGUGGGGAAUAUUGGACAAAGGGCGAAAGCCUGAUCCAGCAAUGCCGCGUGAGUGAUGAAGGCCUUAGGGUUGUAAAGCUCUUUUAUCCGGGACGAUAAUGACGGUACCGGAGGAAUAAGCCCCGGCUAACUUCGUG